ACCUGAUCAGCCAUGCCGCGUGAGUGAAGAAGGCCUUCGGGUUGUAAAGCUCUUUCAGCCGGAACGAAAAGGUUACGGUUAAUACCCGUGAUUACUGACGGUACCGGAAGAAGAAGCACCGGCUAACUACGUGCCAGCAGCCGCGGUAAUA
rnacentral:rRNA from 1 species